CGGGCGAGGUUGCUUCGGUAACUGAGCUAGCGGCGGACGGGUGAGUAAUGCUUAGGAAUCUGCCUAUUAGUGGGGGACAACAUUCCGAAAGGGAUGCUAAUACCGCAUACGUCCUACGGGAGAAAGCAGGGGCUCUUUAUGACCUUGCGCUAAUAGAUGAGCCUAAGUCGGAUUAGCUAGUUGGUGGGGUAAAGGCCUACCAAGGCGACGAUCUGUAGCGGGUCUGAGAGGAUGAUCCGCCACACUGGGACUGAGACACGGCCCAGACUCCUACGGGAGGCAGCAGUGGGGAAUAUUGGACAAUGGGGGGAACCCUGAUCCAGCCAUGCCGCGUGUGUGAAGAAGGCCUUUUGGUUGUAAAGCACUUUAAGUGGGGAGGAGGCUUACCUGGUUAAUACCUGGGCUAAGUGGACGUUACCCACAGAAUAAGCACCGGCUAACUCUGUGCCAGCAGCCGCGGUAAUACAGAGGGUGCGAGCGUUAAUCGGAUUUACUGGGCGUAAAGCGCGCGUAGGUGGUUAAUUAAGUCAAAUGUGAAAUCCCCGAGCUUAACUUGGGAAUUGCAUUCGAUACUGGUUAGCUAGAGUAUGGGAGAGGAUGGUAGAAUUCCAGGUGUAGCGGUGAAAUGCGUAGAGAUCUGGAGGAAUACCGAUGGCGAAGGCAGCCAUCUGGCCUAAUACUGACACUGAGGUGCGAAAGCAUGGGGAGCAAACAGGAUUAGAUACCCUGGUAGUCCAUGCCGUAAACGAUGUCUACUAGCCGUUGG
rnacentral:rRNA from 2 species